rnacentral:misc_RNA from 1 species
GAUGAAGAACGUAGUGAAAUGCGAUAAGUAAUGUGAAUUGCAGAAUUCAGUGAAUCAUCGAAUCUUUGAACGCACCUUGCGCCCUUUGGCUAUUCCGAAGGGCAUGCCUGUUUGAGUAUCAUGAACACCUCAACUCUUUAUGAUUUUCCAUGAAGGGCUUGGACUUUGGGGGUCUUGCUGGCCUUUAGUCAGCUCCUCUCAAACGAAUCAGCUUUCCAGUGUUUGGCAGCGUCACAGGUGUGAUAACUAUCUACGCUUGUGGUUUUCUGCCAGGUAAUCCUCAGUGAUGGGGAUUCGCUGGGGCUUAUAAAUGUCUCUCCUCAGCGAAGACAGCUUUGUGAACGUUUGAUCUCAAAUCAGGUAGGACUACCCGCUGAACUUAAGCAUAUCAAUAAGCGGAGGA